UGGGGAAUAUUGGACAAUGGGCGAAAGCCUGAUCCAGCCAUGCCGCGUGUGUGAAGAAGGUCUUCGGAUUGUAAAGCACUUUAAGUUGGGAGGAAGGGCAUUAACCUAAUACGUUAGUGUUUUGACGUUACCGACAGAAUAAGCACCGGCUAACUCUGUGCCAGCAGCCGCGGUAAUACAGAGGGUGCAAGCGUUAAUCGGAAUUACUGGGCGUAAAGCGCGCGUAGGUGGUUUGUUAAGUUGGAUGUGAAAUCCCCGGGCUCAACCUGGGAACUGCAUUCAAAACUGACUGACUAGAGUAUGGUAGAGGGUGGUGGAAUUUCCUGUGUAGCGGUGAAAUGCGUAGAUAUAGGAAGGAACACCAGUGGCGAAGGCGACCACCGGGACUAAUACUGACACUGAGGUGCGAAAGCGUGGGGAGCAAACA
rnacentral:rRNA from 1 species